rnacentral:rRNA from 1 species
GACAGAGGCCUCAAGCGUUAGGCGGAAUCACUGGGCUUAAAGCGUGUGUAGGCGGAUCGUUAAGUGUCUUGUGAAAUCCCACGGCUCACCCGUGGAACGGCUGGGCAUACUGGCGAUCUUGGGCCAACUAGGGGCAACUGGAACAAGCGGUGGAGCGGUGAAAUGCGUAGAUAUCGCUUGGAACGCCGAAGGUGAAAACAGGUUGCUGGGGUUGUGCCGACGCUGAGACACGAAAAGCCAGGGGGAGCAAACGGGG